UCAAGCUUCAGAGACGCAUCCAACUCCAGCCAAUACAUUCCUGAAAAAUUACGCUUUCAGCUACUUGCGAAGAGUCUUGACCCAAGCAUUACCACCGCAUAAAAAUUAAUCAAGUCUAGUUUAACAUUCUGACGCGUCGUAAACUAAGAUGAAGAAUAUCGCAAUUUUGCUUUCUGUGGUUAUGUUAGUUCUUAGCCAGGACAUUCCGCCCGUAGAAGGUCGGAUAAUAAUGAUCAGUUCACCGAUACGAUAUAGCACAACCCCACCAUUCUACGCAUGGAAACGGAAAAAGCGCAAUGUGGAAAAUGAUGAAAAUUUACAGACAAGAGAAAGAGAGUCCAUCAGACACGGAAAUGAUUAAGUAAGAAUGAUUAAUCUGAUUCACAAUGUCAAAGCGGAAUUUUCAAUAAUUUAUAUAUAUAUAUAUUGCAAAAAUAAAUCGUACUAUUAUUUGGUCGA